rnacentral:rRNA from 1 species
UGGGGAAUAUUGGGCAAUGGGCGCAAGCCUGACCCAGCCAUGCCGCGUGAGUGAUGAAGGCCUUCGGGUCGUAAAGCUCUGUGGGGAGGGACGAAACAGCCAGGCGCUAAUACCGCCGGGCCUUGACGGUACCUCCUUAGCAAGCACCGGCUAACUCCGUGCCAGCAGCCGCGGUAAUACGGAGGGUGCAAACGUUGCUCGGAAUCAUUGGGCGUAAAGCGCACGUAGGCGGCACGUUAAGUCGGAUGUGAAAGCCCUCGGCUCAACCGAGGAAGUGCAUUCGAAACUGGCGAGCUUGAGUAUGGAAGAGGGUCGCGGAAUUCCCGGUGUAGAGGUGAAAUUCGUAGAUAUCGGGAGGAACACCAGUGGCGAAGGCGGCGACCUGGGCCAAUACUGACGCUGAGGUGCGAAAGCGUGGGGAGCAAACAGG